GUCACGACAUGCGAUACUUGGUGUGAAUUGCAGAAUCCCGCGAACCAUUGAGUCUUUGAACGCAAGUUGCGCCCGAGGCCUUUCGGCCGAGGGCACGCCUGCCUGGGCGUCACGUGAUCGUCGCUCCGUGUCCCCCCAGCCCGACCCACGGGUGGUGGAGCNGGAUGCGUACACUGUCCCCCCGCGCACACGGGCGCGGUCGGCCGAAGAGCGUGCCGUCGCCGAUGGUCGGACACGACGGGUGGUGGCGCCAUGAGCAAGCCGAACGUCGUGCCUCGGCCUCGGAGACGAGCUCCGACGGAACCCCCACCCCACCGUAAUCGCAGGCCUCGGAUUGCGACCCCAGGUCAGGCGGGGCCACCCGCCGAGUUUAAGCAUAUAAAUAAGCGGAGGAGAAGAAACUUAUGAGGAUUCCCAUAGUAACGGCGAGCGAACCGGGAUCA
rnacentral:rRNA from 1 species